CGAAGCACAGGCUUGGGGCAACCCUGCCCUUGAAGAUGCUUCCUGCUUUUCAUUUCGUGAUGUGAGCUCAUCCCUCAUUCAGCCCUCCAGCUUCAUUUCCCUAACCUUGGGAUAAAGCUAUUUAAUCCUCUCUUUUUCCUCACAGCCAUCAUAAAGGGUGCAAGAUCAUUCCUAUUACCCCCUCAUGGCACAGGAGCGUCCCCGUUCCCCUUCAGGAUCUUCGCUGUCAAGGCCUCCUUCCUGGAGUGAAUCGCAGGCAGCCCUCAGGAGUGCACAGACCCCACUUCUGCAAGCAUGCGCUCCCACCCAGCACUGAAGGCUGCUCUACUCUGUGAUACACACAAGUCCCUUGGCCACUAAAAAGCCAGGGCUGACCUCCUCUGUGUACUUGUCCCAUUCUCCAUUGAAGAGAAUGGUCUACUCAGCCCCAUGUGUCCCUGAGAACAUGACCUGACAGUACAUGAAGGUUUAUUCCGAAUAACGACUUUUUUUUUUCUUGUUGCCCAGGCUGUAGUGCAGUGGCACGAUCUCAGCUCACUGCAACCUCUGCCUCCCAGGUUCAAGCGAUUCUCCUGCCUCAGCCUCCAGAGUAGCUGGGAAUACAGGCAUCUGCCACCACGCCCAGUGGAUGGAACCAGAAAGCCAGUGGCUGAGGAAGCAGGAGGAGCCAAAGUGGUGGAGGCAGCCUGCCUGCGGGUCCCAUUCCUGACUUUAAGAAAUGGUCACAAGGACAACCCCAGAGAGUCACCCAUAGAGAAACCCUGUGCUUGGGGUUUGUCAAGGAAACGAGGAGACACGGUCUUAUUCUGUCACCCAGGCUGAAGUGCAAUGGUUUGAUCCUAGCUCACCGCAGCCUGAAACUUCUGGGCUCAAGUGAUCCUCCCAGCUCAGCCUCUCAAGUCUGGGAUUACAGGCAUGAGUCACUGUACCCAGGCUAAAAUUUCUAACAGAAGAAUUUAACAACACCAAAAGCUGCCAAAAUAGUAAUGGUAACAUAGAACAUGAAUAUUAAAGCAUGACUCACAUGUGUAUUGUACCUAUCACUUAUUUAAAGUACAUAUAGCAUCAAAUACUUCAAAAGAAAAUAGAUACCCUAGAAUUAAGACAGUAGAAACCCAUAUGGCUGGGCCAGACACUGUGGCACACACCUAUAAUCCCAAUGCUCUGGGAGGCCAAGUGGAUGGAUUAUUUGAGCUCAAGAGUUCAAGACAAGCCUGGCCAACAUGGCGAAACCCUGUCACUACUAAAAAUAAAAGGUAAAAAAAAAAAAAGAAAGAAAAAGAA
rnacentral:lncRNA from 13 species